UCAGAAACCAUUAUUUUCUCAACAUCUAAAACAAUGGAAAAGAUAUCAAUGAAGGUUGCUCUUGUUAUUUUCUUAGUUGUUGCAUCCGUGGUGAGUAUUGAGGCAACACGGUUAUUAACCGAAGAAGCUCUUGAGACUGUUUUCCUUGGUGAAUCUUUGCCGCAUGGCGAGGAAAAAAAUCAUUUUGGAUCUCUCUUGCACUGCCAGAAAGGGUGGCAUGUGGGAUGUUAUACCGUUCCUCCUGCUGAUUAUGUAACAUGUACUUGUUUUCACGACUAAUCUGAUCCUUCUUAAUCGAAUCGUCAAAGAAUAAUGUGCUUUUCUAAUAUUAAUGAAAAACUGGGCCAGUUAUGUUCUAUCAUGUCAUUGUGUCAUGAUUUCUGUCGAGUUUCUUGAACUUAAGGUGGGCAAAGCUGUGUUACAAAAAAAAAGUGGGCAAAGGUCUCCAACAAAAAAGAAAUAGUCAUGGUCAUGGCUCUCUCUCUAACUUAUUCAUCGAUGAGCAACAAUGAUAAUACUACCGACAUAAAUAGAUUGUUCAUUGUGUUUGUUAUGUAGUGAAUAUAACUGUAAAUAGCAAACCCUAAGCUCUAAAAGUAUAUUUUAAAAUUAUUUUAAAAUAUUUUGUCAAAAUAGAAGAAUAAAUGUGGACAAACAACAAUCACAUCGUAGUGAAGAAACUCUUGAAACUGUGUUGCAUGGUGAAUCUUUGCCGCAUGGUGAAUCUUGGCUGCAUGGUGUGAAACUACGAGAUCCUAAUAUAUAACUGCAAGAAAGGCUAUCGUGUAUUCGUGUGCUACGAGGUCCUAACCAAAGAAGAAAGGUCUCGUCGUGUGCUAUGUAUUUCCAAACCAUUAACCAUAUGUCGUAACAUGUUGUAUAUGUAACUGAUAUUCUUUAAUCGAACAAAUAUAUAAGAGUAUAUGAUAAACCUAUUAUACUGUGUUGAAUCAAAAUAUAUCAUUCAUGUCAAAAUAUAUCAUUGAUCGAAUAUGAACAACAAAAAGUUAUAAAAAAUUUAAAUAAUACAUAUACCAUUAAAUAAAUUAUUUUCUUAUUUUUUACAUAAAAUAUAUUUUAAAUUACAUAAAUAUAAAAAAAUAUUUUAAACAAAUUAUUAAUAACUCUAUAAAUUAAUAAAAUAUCAAAAUUUGAAUAUUAUUUUAUAUAAUUUUUACUGUAUGUAGGGUUUCUGGUCCUAAUCUAAUUAAAGCAGUUAUGCUCACCAACAUUUUAGUCAUAGUGUAUUAAAGUUUACAAUUUUAAACUGAUUUGGUCUUAUGCUUUUUUUUAAUUAAAUUUGGUAAAUAAAUUAAUUUAGUCUUUAUGUAUAUUUAUGAAAUUUAAAUAAUACAUAUCUUGAUUAUUUCUUUCCAUAAUUUGAUAAGGAAGUUGACUAAAUCAAUACCGCUUUUAUCCUAUAAAAGGCUCCCACAACAUUGAUCAGAUACCAGUAUUUUUCUCAACAUUUAAAACAAUGGAGAAGAUCAUAUCAAUGAAGUUUGCCUUUGUUAUUAUCUUCUUAGUUGUUACAUCCGUGAUGAGUAUUGAGGCAACAAGGUUAUUAUCCGAAGAAGCUCUUCAAACUAUGUUGCAUGGUGAAUCUUUGCCGCAUGGUGAAGAAAAGUUCCAUUUUGGUCGUCACUGUCCAAAAGGGUGUCAUGUGGAAUGUAAUCCCGAUCCUUUUGUUGUAAGAUGUGGUUGUGUGUGUAACCAUUAAUCUGAUCCCUUUUAAUCGAUCUGUAUAAAUAAAAAUAUGUAUUUUUCUUUUAUAAUUAUAUCAAUAAACGACUUGGCCAGUUAUGUGAUUGUGUAA